CGGUGGAUGAUGUGGAUUAAUUCGAUGCAACGCGAAAACCUUACCUACCCUUGACAUGCUAGGAAUCCCGCAGAGAUGUGGGAGUGCUCGAAAGAGAACCUGGACACAGGUGCUGCAUGGCUGUCGUCAGCUCGUGUCGUGAGAUGUUGGGUUAAGUCCCGCAACGAGCGCAACCCUUGUCAUUAGUUGCUACGAAAGGGCACUCUAAUGAGACUGCCGGUGACAAACCGGAGGAAGGUGGGAUGACGUCAAGUCCUCAUGGCCCUUAUGUCUAGGGCUACACACGUACUACAAUGGCCGGUACAAAGGGCAGCCACUCAGCGAUGAGGCGCUAAUCCCAUAAAGCCGGUCUCAGUCCGGAUCGCAGUCUGCAACUCGACUGCGUGAAGUUGGAAUCGCUAGUAAUCGUAGAUCAGCAUGCUACGGUGAAUACGUUCCCGGGCCUU
rnacentral:rRNA from 1 species